rnacentral:rRNA from 1 species
GAUGAACGCUGGCGGCGUGCCUAAUACAUGCAAGUCGAACGAAACUUCUUUAUCACCGAGUGCUUGCACUCACCGAUAAAGAGUUGAGUGGCGAACGGGUGAGUAACACGUGAGCAACCUGCCCAAAAGAGGGGGAUAACACUUGGAAACAGGUGCUAAUACCGCAUAACCAUAGUUACCGCAUGGUAACUAUGUAAAAGGUGGCUAUACUACCGCUUUUGGAUGGGCCCGCGGCGCAUUAGCUAGUUGGUAGGGUAAAGGCUUACCAAGGCAAUGAUGCGUAGCCGAAUUGAGAGGUUGAUCGGCCACAUUGGGACUGAGACACGGCCAAAACUCCUACGGGAGGCAGCAGUAGGGAAUCUUCCACAAUGGGCGAAAGCCUGAUGGAGCAACGCCGCGUGGGUGAAGAAGGUCUUCGGAUCGUAAAACCCUGUUGUUAGAGAAGAAAGUGCGUGAGAGUAACUGUUCACGUUUCGACGGUAUCUAACCAGAAAGCCACUGCUAACUACGUG